UACGAGGCUUAUAGGAAUGGAGAAUGUCUAAGUGAACACACGGUUUGGAAAUUCCUUUAUUUUGGAUUUGGAUAUCCACAUCACUUAAGCAGGGAUGCAGUUAUAAAGCAGAUGGCAGAUCUUUUUCCAAAUGGUACGGAUGAUAAGUGCUCUUGUACUAAAGCGUUUGAUUUACAUUAUGAGGGCAUUACAG